GGCCCCAAAAAUUAUUCAGUAACUUAAAAGUUGUCUCACUCUAACAUUUAUCUUAAAAGUAAGUAAAAAUUAUGUCAUUCAACUCUCAGUUUUCAACUUUUUCUACAUGUGCAGAAAGUAAACAGGUGUCUUCUAUUCCGUCCGCAAUUUAUGGGAAAACUAAAUCUAAAUUAAGAACCAUAUUGAAAUUGAAAGUACACAUGUAAGAUAAAAUAUAACAUGUCAUUUCUUCUUUCACAAAUUCCAAUUUCGAAGAGAUAUAUAGCGAAAUCUGUUUUUUUUAUUGUGUCUAGCUGUGUGCAUCAUUCAAAAUUAGAGAAUGUAAUUUUGAAGUAUCAAGUCUCAAUUCAAGAUUAUGAAUGAAUAGAAUAUAGAAUUACGGGGGGAAAGGGGGGGGGGGGGGUAGGAUCUUUAUCAUAACUCCGGGAUCGGGUGUUUUUAAGCUCGGGACUACGGGAUUGACCCUUUUGGGAUCCGGGAAUUCUAUUUCCGAAUUUCGGGUAGUCGGG
rnacentral:lncRNA from 1 species